rnacentral:rRNA from 1 species
UACAGAGGUCUCAAGCGUUGUUCGGAUUCAUUGGGCGUAAAGGGUGCGUAGGCGGCGAGGUAAGUCGGAUGUGAAAUCCCGGGGCUCAACCCUGGAACUGCAUUCGAUACUGCCUUGCUCGAGGACUCGAGAGGAGAUUGGAAUUCACGGUGUAGCAGUGAAAUGCGUAGAUAUGCGGAGGAACACCAGUGGCGAAGGCGGCUCACUGGCCCGGUACUGACGCUGAGGCGCGAAAGCGUGGGGAGCAAACAGG